rnacentral:tRNA from 1 species
GUCUCAUUAGUGUAAUGGAUAAGCACGAGAGACUGGAUAUCUGUAGGUGCGGGUUUGAGUCCCACCUGAGGUU